UAAAUUGGAUGUGUUGUUUACAUCGCUUUAUCAAUUCCGCGCUCUAAACAAUAUUAAACAGAUGGGUUCAACGCCAGAAGAAGUAUCUGGCAUGGAAGCUGUGUUGUACCUAUUUAAUACCGGAUGAUUUGCCGAAAGCGGUCGUUCGCGAUUUGCAUAAGUUGGUCCCACAAAUAUACGGAUUUAAGGAUUUUUGGGACUUCAAAGCGUUCAUUCAAAUCGAAUUUGUGACGAAGAAGAAGGCAGAAGCGGCGCGAUCGAAUGGAUUCGAUUAUGUCUACAAUGGUGGUCAGUGUAAUCAGAGAUACGCACCGUCUGCACGUGUAUCUUGUUUCGUUGCGGCGAAUUUGGCACCCAAUGUAGGCGAAGGCCAUUAGCUAAAUUAAAUAAAAUGAAAAAUGCAGAGAUCCAAAGAACGUUUUCAACCGUUUCAACCUUAUCGAAUACUAAAUUGGCCAAAAUGAUGUACAGCUUAUAAGCAACAUCGCAUUUCCUUUCUGAUAAAGUAUUCAAAAUUGCCAACUGUGAUAAGACGAUUGAUUGUAAAGUGCUGAUCAUAAUGUACUUGCAUGACCAGAAACCCCACCGAGUGUAGCCGUCGCCGACACUUUUCGUACUGUUUCUAGAAUAUGUAACCACUGUGCAUAUUGAUGCUGAUUAAGGCUUACUAUCGGGUCAGGUCAACCUGAAAAUUUCAGGUCAAUUAAAAUCAUGACCUGAAAUGACCUGAAACCUGAAUUUGACCUAAUAACUUGACCUGAAUAUUAUCAGAUUGACCUGACAUUUUUUAAGUUUUUUCUAAAAUAGUUUUGUUAAUAAUCAAAUCGAAAAAACAAUUGAUU